UCAAUACAAAGUAAAAUGGCCGCUAUGC
rnacentral:piRNA from 1 species